GACGAACGCUGGCGGCGUGCCUAAUACAUGCAAGUAGAACGCACAGUUUAUACCGUAGCUUGCUACACCAUAGACUGUGAGUUGCGAACGGGUGAGUAACGCGUAGGUAACCUGCCUGGUAGCGGGGGAUAACUAUUGGAAACGAUAGCUAAUACCGCAUAAUAUUAAUUAUUGCAUGAUAAUUAAUUGAAAGGUGCAAUUGCACCACUACCAGAUGAACCUGCGUUGUAUUAGCUAGUAGGUGAGGUAACGGCUCACCUAGGCGACGAUACAUAGCCGACCUGAGAGGGUGAUCGGCCACACUGGGACUGAGACACGGCCCAGACUCCUACGGGAGGCAGCAGUAGGGAAUCUUCGGCAAUGGACGAAAGUCUGACCGAGCAACGCCGCGUGAGUGAAGAAGGUUUUCGGAUCGUAAAGCUCUGUUGUAAGAGAAGAACGGGUGUGAGAGUGGAAAGUUCACACUGUGACGGUAUCUUACCAGAAAGGGACGGCUAACUACGUG
rnacentral:rRNA from 1 species